GGACGAACGCUGGCGGCGUGCCUAACACAUGCAAGUCGAACGGAACUAUUUGACCGAUUCCUUCGGGAUGAAGAAUUUUAGUUAGUGGCGGACGGGUGAGUAACGCGUGAGUAACCUGCCUCUGAGAGGGGAAUAACGUUCUGAAAAGAACGCUAAUACCGCAUAACACAUAUUUGCCGCAUGACAGAUAUGUCAAAGAUUUUAUCGCUCGGAGAUGGACUCGCGUCCGAUUAGUUAGUUGGUGAGGUAACGGCUCACCAAGACCGCGAUCGGUAGCCGGACUGAGAGGUUGAACGGCCACAUGGACUGAGACACGGCCCAGACUCCUACGGGAGGCAGCAGGUGGGGGAUAUUGCGCAAUGGGGGCAACCCUGAACCGCAGCAACGCCGCGUGAAGGAUGAAGGUUUUCGGAUUGUAAACUUCUUUUAUCAGGGACGAACUCUGACGGUACCUGAUGAAUAAGCUCCGGCUAACUACGUGCCAGCCGCCGC
rnacentral:rRNA from 1 species